UGCGCAGGACGGGCGAUCGCUGGCGAACGGCUAAAACCGAACGCGGGAGGAAAGUCCGGGCUCCAUUAAAGCAGGGUACUGGCUAACGGCCAGGCGUCUUCUUCGGAGGGCGACGGAAAGUGCAACAGAAAGUAAACCGCCGCGGGCUUUCGGGUUUCGCGGCAAGGGUGAAACGGCGGGGUAAGAGCCCACCGCGUCCACGGCGACGGGGACGGCACGGCAAACCCUACCUGGAGCAAGGCCAAAUAGGGGAGCGAUAAGGUCAGCUUGGCCGAUGCUCCCGGGUAAGGCCGCUUGAGGGGCGUGGUAACACGCUUCCCAGAGGAAUGGUCGCCUCCGUGACGCCUGAAAAGGCAGUCGCGAAGACAGAACCCGGCUUACAGUCCUGCGCAGAAU
rnacentral:RNase_P_RNA from 3 species